rnacentral:rRNA from 1 species
UACGGGGGGGGCAAGCGUUGUUCGGAAUUACUGGGCGUAAAGGGCUCGUAGGUGGCCAACUAAGUCAGACGUGAAAUCCCUCGGCUUAACCGGGGAACUGCGUCUGAUACUGGAUGGCUAGAGAUUGGGAGAGGGAUGCGGAAUUCCAGGUGUAGCGGUGAAAUGCGUAGAUAUCUGGAGGAACACCGGUGGCGAAGGCGGCAUCCUGGACCAACACUGACGCUGAGGAGCGAAAGCUAGGGGAGCGAACGGG